UCCCUGGUGGUCCAGUGGUUAGGACUCUAUGUUUCCAAUGCAGGGGGCUUGGGUUCAAUCCCUGGUUGGGGAA
rnacentral:tRNA from 1 species